rnacentral:lncRNA from 1 species
CGGGAACAUAGGGGACGUGCCACACCCAGAGGGUGCAGUUGUCAGGCGGGGAGGCCAGCCAUCUGUGAGAGACCCGUCCUGCCGUCCUGCCCCUGCCGUGUGGUGCAGUGAUGACUCCAGUAUCAAUCAGGAUUACACGAAUCGAGCUCAGUAAAGGGCUGACAGAAUCCCUCACCAAAUUUCCAGAAAGAAAGAGUACGGAGAAGGCUAGAAAGAGAAAGGAGGGAGAGAGCGACCCAGAGGAAGACCUCCCACGGAGGCUUCCAGAGCCGCUGGGAAGAGCUCCGCCCCCCGCCCCCCAGCUCUGCACCUGCUACCAUGCAGUGCAGAUCUGCUAAGAGAACCCAAAUCGGCUCCAUCACGGGCCCAGUAUCUUCAACAGCAUCAGCCAUCUGGAGUGUGAUCAAAGAUCCUUGACUCAAAUUGCUUUGGUCUCUCAUUAUUUUAUCUAGAUUAUUUUCAAUUUGUUAUAUGUAUUUCCAAUCUCUCUCUUUCUCUGUCUCUGAGAAUGUGAAGAGAAUCAGAAAUUGUAUGUGCAUACAAUUAUUCAAAAAUAAGAACUUCCGUUCUCUAUUCAAAUACGUGUUAGCUGUUUUCCUUACCUUCAAGAAUAUAUAGGCUAUUGAAGUUUUACUUCGUGGUAAGAAUUGCAAAUGUGAGGGUGGCUGUGGAAAUCAUUUUUCCCAUAAUGCCGGUGACCAUGUCUUCCAAGGCAAAAAGCAAAACACUUCAAUUGAGUCACAGCCUG